AAUUUGGAGCUCAAAAAUGUCAUUUCUCGGAUUUUCGGGGUUUUGGCGGUCCUACCUCCUGACUGGAGCGGUACAACCGCUUGGCAGCUCAGAGACUGAGCUUCUGGGCGGUGCCACCGCCUGACAGGGGUGAUUGCACCGCUUGGCAGAGCUCGGAGACCGAGCUUAGGCGGUUCUACCGCCUGUCAGGGGUGGUUGCACUGCCUAGCCUAGCUUCGAGACUAAGCCCUGGGUAGUGCCACCGCUGACCCAAGCGGUGCCACCGUUGGCCAAGAAAUCUGGGUCCGAAUGGGCUGAUCCAUUCGGCCCAAUUUGGG
rnacentral:lncRNA from 1 species